AUUGAACGCUAGCGGCAUGCUUUACACAUGCAAGUCGAACGAGUGGCGGACGGGUGAGUAAUAUAUCGGAAAGUGCCCAAUAGCGGGGGAUAACUACUCGAAAGGGUGGCUAAUACCGCAUACUCUUGGAGCGGCCGAUAUGGGAUUAGCUAGUUGGUGGGGUAAAGGCUCACCAAGGCGACGAUCCGUAGCUGGUUUGAGAGGACGACCAGCCACACUGGGACUGAGACACGGCCCAGAUUCCUACGGGAGGCAGCAGUGGGGAAUUGUGGACAAUGGGGGAAACCCUGAUGCAGCCAUGCCGCGUGUAUGAGAAGGCCUUCGGGUUGUAAAGUACUUUUGGCAGAGAAGCGGUAUCUGCAGAAUAAGCACCGGCUAACUACGUGCCAGCAGCCGCGGUAAUUC
rnacentral:rRNA from 1 species